AUAAAUAUAGUGUAAUAGUUAGCACACAGGAUUUUGACUCCUGUAAUCUGAGUUUGAUCCUCAAUAUGACCUAAA